UACAGGGGGGGCAAGCGUUGUUCGGAAUUACUGGGCGUAAAGGGCUCGUAGGUGGCUGACUAAGUCAGACGUGAAAUCCCUCAGCUUAACUGGGGAACUGCGUCUGAUACUGGAUGGCUUGAGUUUGGGAGAGGGAUGCGGAAUUCCAGGUGUAGCGGUGAAAUGCGUAGAUAUCUGGAGGAACACCGGUGGCGAAGGCGGCAUCCUGGACCAACACUGACACUGAGGAGCGAAAGCCAGGGGAGCAAACGGG
rnacentral:rRNA from 1 species